ensembl:lncRNA
GCACCGGUGGGCACGCCUUCCUUUCGCAUGUACUCCAGCAGUCAUCUGGAGAUCAGUCAGAGAGCUCUGAGGCUCUUCCAGCAGGCAGCCCGCAAGGAUGAACUGUUUCCCAGGGUGAUCCGUUCUCCCUCGGGGUGUGCAGUGGCCGAGCCAGAGGACGAGGAGGAUGAGUGUCCCAGUCUGAGCUUCAUGGCCCCCACCGCCCUGCUGAAGCCUCCCUACGCACACCCCCUCGGAAUCUUUAACCCAGCCCCCCGGUCUCCAUGCCUUCAAAGCAGACCCCCUCUACCUAGAGUGUGAUCUGGAGUUCCACCUGUGUCCACUGCCCCGGUACACCAUCCCAAAGCCCUCUGUGUUUGGAAUGCACACCCCCAGCACUCAGAAGACAUUUUUAGACCGAACAGAUGUGAUCCGAGGCGUGAUGACCUGGAAGAAGUUCCCAUCGGCUGCCCUGGCCUCUCUGUCCAACAGUCCCACACUCACCAGUAGCUGGGCCCUGCGCAUGUCUGACACCUUCAACAGUGACACCAUGGCGCCCACAGCUCUGAAUGGCCUUCCAGAAGAUAUGACAGAGGAGCUACUGGAUGGACGGUCUUAAAGCACGGGAGUAUCUCUCACGCCCGAGAUGAUCCGAGCAGAGUUUCCCCUGCCAGAGAAUGUACCUUCCACUCCCAGACAGCUAAAAGACGACAGCUCUAAAGAUGACAGGAGUUCCCCGAGUCCCUGUAAAACUCCCCAGAGGAUGCCUGUCAGUACAGUAAACACCUCCAGGGAAUCAAGAGAGCAGCAGCUGGAGAUGUUUCUGAAGUCUCAGACCAAUAGACUUGGUGCCAAGGUGACGGCGCGACUCAACCACCUGAAUAUUGUGGGCAAGGCUAAUUCACCCUCUACACCAGAGAAUAAAUAGUGCUAUAUUUGUUACGAGGCACUAAGGUUGAUGCAGGAAAUAUCAGAUUACAGUACCAACAUACAUUGACUGAUAUAUUUCCUAUAAUAUAUUUUACUGUUAAAUACAUCAUUACUGCAGCUGCUAUGUGCUAUUGUACAGUUGCCACACCACUGAUGCUGUGCCCAUUGUCUUGCAUUUACGCUGGCCAAUUCAGCCAAGGACAUUUUCAUUUAAAACAGUCAUUAUGUACUUUAAAGUUCGG